UCGACCUCAGAUCAGGUGGGACUCCCCGCCGAAUUUAAGCAUAUUAGUAAGCGGAGGAAAAGAAACUAACAAGGAUUCCCCUAGUAGCUGCGAGCGAACAGGGACGAGCCCAGCACUGAAUCCCAAAGGCCUCGCCUUUAGGGAAAUGUAGUGUUUAGGAGUGCCCGUCUAACCCGGGGUCCGUGCACCGCGUUCAAGUCCAUCUUGAACGGGGCCACGGUCCGAAGAGGGUGCCAGGCCCGUAGAUGACCGGUGCCGGCCCCGGGUGGGUCCCUCCUCAGAGUCGGGCUGCUUGAGAGUGCAGCCCUAAGCGGGUGGUAAACUCCAUCUAAGGCUAAAUACAACCACGAGACCGAUAGAGAACAAGUACCGUGAGGGAAAGUUGAAAAGAACUUUGAAGAGAGAGUUCAAGAGUACGUGAAACCGCUCAGGGGUAAACGGAAAAGACCCGAAGCCCCGAAAAGGGAGAUUCACGUCUUCUCGCCGGGUCCGCACCCCGAUUGGGGGGAUGGCCUUUCGCCCCGUCCGGCUCGUCCGUGGCGGUGGGUUGGCCGCCCCCCGCUGGGUAGCGCUCCCGCGGGGGACCGCACUUCUCCCUCAGUAGGACGUCGCGACCCGCUCUGCGGCGGUCAAAGGUCCGGAAGAUUGCCUGGCUCGGGGCCUCCACUUGUGGCGGUCAAGUGUCAGCUCUCCGGCACCGCGGCCGCCGGUCCGGGCGGUAUCGAAAGACUACGGCGCUGGGCCGCUCAACUAGCGAGCGCCGCCGUCUCCCCGCAAGACCGGGCGUUUACCAGGGGGUGCCUUAACGGACACGCCCGGCUAGGCGCUCGGGCCCCUGGCGGGUGAGCACUCCGGCACGGCCCAGUCCGCCAGUCGGCGGCGCUUCAGAUUCGGGAACUUAUCCGACCCGUCUUGAAACACGGACCAAGGAGUCUAGCGUGUGCGCGAGUCAUUGGGUGUAAAACCUAAAGGCGCAAUGAAAGUGUCAGGGGUGCCUCCUUUAGGAGAGCAUCCCGCAGGGAGGAUCGGCCGCCGUACGAUCACUCGUCGGUGCCGCGCACUCCCGGGGCGUCUCGUUCUCAUCACGAGUGGAGACGCACCAGGAGCGCACACGCUGGUACCCGAAAGAUGGUGAACUAUGCCUGGCCAGGACGAAGCCAGGGGAAACCCUGGUGGAGGUCCGAAGCGAUUCUGACGUGCAAAUCGAUCGUCUGAGCUGGGUAUAGGGGCGAAAGACCAAUCGAACCAUCUAGUAGCUGGUUCCCUCUGAAGUUUCCCUCAGGAUAGCUGGCUCUCGGGAAGAGACGAGUCUCAUCCGGUAGAGCGAAUGAUUAGAGGUGAUGGGGUCGAAACGACUUCAACCUAUUCUCAAACUCCCAAUAGAUGAGAGCCCAGGCUUGCUUAAAAGUGAAGCCGCGGGACUCGGAUCAGAGAUGCCAAGUGGGCCAAUUUUGGUAAGCAGAACUGGCGCUGUGGGAUGAACCAAACGCAGAGUUAAGGCGCCUGAUUCGACGCUCAUAUGAAACCAUGAAAGGCGUUGGUUGCUUAAGACAGCAGGACGGUGGCCAUGGAAGUCGGAAUCCGCUAAGGAGUGUGUAACAACUCACCUGCCGAAGCAGCUAGCCCUGAAAAUGGAUGGCGCUGUAGCGUCGUGCCUAUACUCUGCCGUCAAAGGCAAAGCGGGCCGCCCCUUCAGUGGGGAGUCGCCGUUAAGCCUUGACGAGUAAGAGGGUCGCGGCGGUGUGCGCGGAAGGGUCUGGGCGUGAGCCCGCCUGGAGCCGCCGCCGGUGCAGAUCUUGGUGGUAGUAGCAAAUACUCCAGCGAGGCCCUGGAGGACUGAUGUGGAGAAGGGUUUCUUGUGAACAGCUGUUGCACAAGAGUCAGUCGAUCCUAAGCCCUAGGAGAAAUCCGAAGAGAAUGGUUGCCGUUAAAAUUGUGAGCUUUGUGUCGCGCACGUGCAGCUCGUUAUACAUUUCUUUUUUUUAAUUUUUUUUUAUAUCAUUAUAAAAAGGAUGUAGAGCUGCCGUCGCGGGCUAUAAAAAUCGCAGGCACCGUUCGGGCGAAAGGGAAUCCGGUUCCUAUUCCGGAACCCGGCAGCGGAACCGCUUCAAUUCGGGCCCUCACCAGAGGACUCGUCGGGGUGACCCGAAAUGACCCGGAGAAGCCGUAGGGAGGUCCGGGGAGAGUUGUCUCUUCUCUAUAAGCGUUCGAGUUCCCUGGAAGCCUCUAGGAGGGAGAUAGGGUUUGGAACGCGAAGAGCACCGCACUUACGGCGGUGUCCGGAUCUUCCCCUCGGACCUUGAAAAUCCGGGCGAGGGCCACGGGGAACACCGCGCCGGCUCGUACCCAUAUCCGCAGCAGGUCUCCAAGGUGAAUAGCCUCUAGUCGAUAGAAUAAUGUAGGUAAGGGAAGUCGGCAAACCCGAUCUGUAACUUCGGGAUAAGGAUUGGCUCUGAGGAUCGUGGCGCGCCGGGCUUGGUCGGGAAGUGGAGCGGUGCCA
rnacentral:rRNA from 1 species